rnacentral:rRNA from 1 species
CCUACGGGAGACAGCAGUGGGGGAUAUUGCACAAUGGGGGGAACCCUGAUGCAGCGACGCCGCGUGGGUGAAGAAGCGCCUCGGCGCGUAAAGCCCUGUCAGCAGGGAAGAAAAUGACGGUACCUGAGUAAGAAGCCACGGCUAACUACGUGCCAGCAGCCGCGGUAAUACGUAGGGGGCAAGCGUUAUCCGGAAUUACUGGGUGUAAAGGGAGCGUAGACGGUGAUUUAAGUCUGGAGUGAAAGGCGGGGGCCCAACCCCCGGACUGCUCUGGAAACUAUGUGACUGGAGUGCAGGAGAGGUGAGCGGAAUUCGUAGUGUAGCGGUGAAAUGCGUAGAUAUUAGGAAGAACACCAGUGGCGAAGGCAGCUCACUGAACUGUAACUGACGUUGAGGCUCGAAAGCGUGGGGAGCAAACAGGAUUAGAUACCCCUGUAGUC